rnacentral:rRNA from 1 species
UACGUAGGGGGCAAGCGUUGUCCGGAUUUAUUGGGCGUAAAGAGCUCGUAGGCGGCUCGGUAAGUCGGAUGUGAAACCUCCAGGCUCAACCUGGAGACGCCAUCUGAUACUGCCGUGGCUUGAGUCCGGUAGAGGAGCAGGGAAUUCCUGGUGUAGCGGUGAAAUGCGCAGAUAUCAGGAGGAACACCUACGGCGAAGGCAGCUCGCUGGGACGGUACUGACGCUGAGACGCGAAAGCGUGGGGAGCAAACAGG